rnacentral:rRNA from 1 species
UCCGGAGAGGGAGCCUGAGAGACGGCUACCACUUCUAUGGAAGGCAGCAGGCGCGCAAAUUACCCAAUCCCGACUCGGGGAGGUAGUGACAAUAAAUAUCGAUGCAGGUCACAUUGUGUCUUGCAAUUGGAAUGAGUACAAUUUAAACCCCUUAACGAGUAACAAUUAGAGGGCAAGUCUGGUGCCAGCAGCCGCGGUAAUUCCAGCUCUAAUAGCGUAUAUUAACGUUGUUGCAGUUAAAAAGCUCGUAGUUGGAUCUUGGAAUUGGGCGGAGUCGGUCUGCCAGCCGGUAGUACUGGUCCGCUCGUUCUCGCCUACUGGCGUUCUGCCGGUGCUCUUCGUUGGGUGCCGGUCCGUGUCUCUUCGCGGGGACGCGGCGCCGUGGCGCGCCUCGUGCGCGUCGCAGCGUGGAUCCAGUUCGUUUACUGUGAGUAAAUUAGAGUGUUUAAAGCAGCCUCUUGGGGCUUUGAAUACGUUAGCAUGGGAUAAUGGAAUAGGACUUUGGUUCUAUUUUGUUGGUUUCUAGGACCGAAGUAAUGAUUAAUAGGGAUAGUUGGGGGCAUUUGUAUUUAAUUGUCAGAGGUGAAAUUCUUGGAUUUAUGAAAGACAAACUUCUGCGAAAGCAUUUGCCAAGGAUGUUUUCAUUAAUCAAGAACGAAAGUUAGGGGAUCGAAGACGAUCAGAUACCGUCGUAGUCUUAACCAUAAACUAUGCCGACCAGGGAUUUGAGGACGUUACUUGGAUGACUCCUUGAGCACCUUGUGAGAUAUCACAAGUCUUUGGGUUCCGGGGGGAGUAUGGUCGCAAGGCUGAAACUUAAAGGAAUUGACGGAGGGGCACCACCAGGAGUGGAGCCUGCGGCUUAAUUUGACCCAACACGGGGAAACUUACCAGGUCCAGACAUAGUAAGGAUUGACAGAUUGAGAGCUCUUUCUUGAUUCUAUGGGUGGUGGUACAUGGCCGUUCUUAGUUGGUGGAGUGAUUUGUCUGGUUAAUUCCGUUAACGAACGAGACCUCAGCCUACUAAAUAGUGAUGCCAACGCUUUGGCCUCGCGCCGCUGCGUUGGUAGACCACUUCUUAGAGGGACAAUCCGUAUCAAGCGGAUGGAAGCGUGAGGCAAAAACAGGUCUGUGAUGCCCUUAGAUGUUCUGGGCUGCACGCGCGCUACACUGAUGAAUUCAACAAGUCUACCACCUUGGCCGACAGGUCUGGGUAAUCUUUUGAAAUUUCAUCGUGAUGGGGAUAGAUGAUUGCAAUUAUUCAUCUUCAACGAGGAAUUCCUAGUAAGCGCGAUUCAACAGAUCGCGUUGAUUACGUCCCUGCCCCUUGUACACACCGCCCGUCGCUGCUACUGAUUGGAUGGUUAGGUGAAAUGGACGGACUGUGACGAACGCUACGGUCUCGGCUGUAGUAUCGUCGUGGGAGGUUCAGUAAAUCUGAUUAUCUAGAGGAAGCAAAAGUCGUAACAAGGUU